rnacentral:rRNA from 1 species
UACGUAGGGGGCAAGCGUUGUCCGGAAUCAUUGGGCGUAAAGCGCGUGUAGGCGGCUUGGUAAGUCCGCUCUGAAAGCCCGGGGCUCAACCCCGGGAGGCGGGUGGAUACUGCUGGGCUCGAGUCCGGAAGAGGAGUGUGGAAUUCCUGGUGUAGCGGUGAAAUGCGCAGAUAUCAGGAGGAACACCAAUGGCGAAGGCAGCACUCUGGGACGGUACUGACGCUGAGACGCGAAAGCGUGGGGAGCGAACAGG